GUCCACGCCGUAAACGAUGAUAACUAGCUGUCCGGGGACUUGGUCUUUGGGUGGCGCAGCUAACGCAUUAAGUUAUCCGCCUGGGGAGUACGGCCGCAAGGUUAAAACUCAAAUGAAUUGACGGGGGCCUGCACAAGCGGUGGAGCAUGUGGUUUAAUUCGAAGCAACGCGCAGAACCUUACCAGCGUUUGACAUGUCCGGACGAUUUCCAGAGAUGGAUCUCUUCCCUUCGGGGACUGGAACACAGGUGCUGCAUGGCUGUCGU
rnacentral:rRNA from 1 species